rnacentral:rRNA from 1 species
UACGUAGGGAGCAAGCGUUGUCCGGAAUCAUUGGGCGUAAAGCGCGCGUAGGCGGCCCCGUAAGUCCGCUGUGAAAGUCAAAGGCUCAACCUUUGAAAGCCGGUGGAUACUGUGGGGCUAGAGUCCGGAAGAGGCGAGUGGAAUUCCUGGUGUAGCGGUGGAAUGCGCAGAUAUCAGGAGGAACACCAAUAGCGAAGGCAGCUCGCUGGGACGGUACUGACGCUAAGGCGCGAAAGCGUGGGGAGCGAACGGG